rnacentral:rRNA from 1 species
UCAACCUGGUUGAUCCUGCCAGUAGUCAUAUGCUUGUCUCAAAGAUUAAGCCAUGCAUGUCUAAGUAUAAACUGCUUUAUACUGUGAAACUGCGAAUGGCUCAUUAAAUCAGUUAUAGUUUAUUUGAUGGUACCUAAUUACUUGGAUAACCGUAGUAAUUCUAGAGCUAAUACAUGCGUACAUCCCGACUUCUG